UAAAUAAAAACCAUAGAAAUUGGGGCUUGAAAUGUUGGGGUGUAGCCUCCCCCAAAACCUUAAACCCGCAUCUGUUGCUUGCUGUUGUCAUGUACAUGAAAGUUGAUCACACAUGGGAUAAGAUGUGUCUCCUCAGCUCCUCUCUGUUUCAACACAAACAUGGCAGAAUAUUUCCUUUCUUCAAUCUUAUUUUAUUAGAUGGAUUUUUUUACAUUUUAAUCUUUUUGUCUAUGUUGGCGUUAAUGCUGAGGUUCUGUAGGCCUUGUUUCCACUUAGUGCUUGAAUAGUGGGUAAUCUCACUUGCUGGUAACAUCCUGAAGAAGGUUAUUGUCAGUGGAGGAGGACGCCGUUAAAUUCGAUGAAGAGGAUUGGAUUUCUCAGACUGUGCUAGCUGGAUUUCUCAGAACGUCUGUAUAUUACAUCUGCUAAAUAUGUCUAUGUGACCAAUAAAAUGUGAUUUAUAUUCUACAAUUCUACAUGACGAUAGAUUGCACCAAAAUAUGGAGCUUCAAAACGAAGGAAGAACCCUUCUUAAGAGUAUAGGCUAUUUAUCUUUGAUUAGAAAAUAAUGAUAAUCUGUGUCUGACUAAAACACUGCAAAAGAGGACUUUAAAUAGAUCAUGGCCAGUCUUUGUCCCCUAAAUGGAUUCAAAAACUGGCCAGACAGACAAGAGGGCCUAAAUCCGACCAUUGUUCAUGUGGGCGCUUCACUGUAACCUCAGCCAGGAGUACAUAUCAUACAAAAGGUACCUUACUGGAAACCUUUUCCAACGGAUCUGAAACAGCCCAGGCAGUGAGACGGCCUUGUAACUUCUGUUAUAGACAACAGAACUGUUGAUUGAUGCUCAAUGGAGUUAGGUGUCUGAAUAUCAUUGAUCACCUCUUUACUAAACAGGAUAAACAUCUUAGUUCUGCAUAUCUGUUAAAUAUGCCAUGGUCUAGUGAUUGUGUCUCAGAGUAUGGGUCAUUUUCAGUCAGAGAGAUAGGCAUAUCCAAAUAACAAUAGUAAGGGAAAUGUAAUAUUGAAUUGUUGUUGCUUUAGAGGACAUUCAAUGAUGUUACACUUUAGUGUAUCCUCUUUCAAUACGCCACAAUUACAAAAUGUAAUAUACUUUACAUUUUACCACAGCUGGAAUUCAAUGAAACCCACCAUUGCAAUGCGUACACAUAGUCUGUUUCUAUACUAUUAGCCGUAUCUACACUCAUUUAUCUGAAAUAGAGAAUCAUAUAUACUGUGACCUGGUGAUAGGUUUUUACAGCAACCAAAAUCAUUGUGAUUUUUAUUUCACAAUGGGAAAAAGAGCUACUGACUGAAUGAUGCAAAGCGUGUUCGAUUGAAUCCCUUUAUUUAUCAAUUGUUUAUUUCUUAUUAUAUUUUGUUGUCAUAAUAAUAUGUUAGACAGAGUGACCUGUAGAAGAAAUGUCUUACAUUGCAAAUUCUGCAAUGUUAAUUCAUGUCAAUACUGAAAAGAUCAUCCAUUUCAGCAGCAGACCAUAUUACUUUCCACUGCUUAACCUUGCAUUAAUGGAAACAUUGAAAUAUGGUAGUUUGAGUGCCAUUUAAUUAAUAUAUUUGAUCUAAAAAGUCAAAGUCUACACAGUAAAAUACUACAAAUUAAUAGUUGUUAUUUGACACACAGAUAUAUGUUUACAUUUUUGUUAUCUUAACAUUUAUCCUCUUUAAUUCUGAUAAUGGAUCGAAAGAUUAAUGUUAGAUAUCUUUGUCUAUAACAGGUACAUUUGUUAUGCUUUUUCUUUCUAUUUUCAGAGUUGAUCUAAUGUGAUAAAGACAGAGCUACAUGGCCGUUUCAGGGUUGAUCUAAUGUGAUAAAGACAGAGCUACAUGGCCGUUUCACGGUUGAUCAAAUGUGAUAAAGACAGCGAAACAUAGUCGUUUCAGGGUUGAUCUAAUGUGAUAAAGACAGAGCAACAUGGCCGUUUCAGAGUUGAUCUAAUUUGAUAAAGACAGCGAAACAUAGUCGUUUCAGGGUUGAUCUAAUGCGAUAAAGACAGAGCAACAUGGCCGUUUCAUGGUUGAUCUAAUGCGAUAAAGACAGAGCAACAUGGCCGUUUCAGGGUUGAUCUAAUGCGAUAAAGACAGAGCAACAUGACCGUUUCAGAGUUGAUCUAAUUUGAUAAAGACAGAGCAACAUGACCGUUUCAGAGUUGAUCUAAUGUGAUAAUGACAGAGCAACAUGGCUGUUUCAGGGUUCAUCAAAUGUGAUAAAGACA
rnacentral:lncRNA from 1 species